rnacentral:rRNA from 1 species
CCCUUAGAUGUUCUGGGCUGCACGCGCGCUACACUGAUGCGCUCAACGAGUUUUAACCUUGCCCGGAAGGGUUGGGUAAUCUUUUCAAAACGCAUCGUGAUGGGGAUAGAUUAUUGCAAUUAUUAAUCUUCAACGAGGAAUUCCUAGUAAGCGCGAGUCAUAAGCUCGCGUUGAUUACGUCCCUGCCCUUUGUACACACCGCCCGUCGCUACUACCGAUUGGAUGGUUUAGUGAGAUCCUCGGAUUGGACCCGUCUCCGGGGGCAACCCCGGGCGCGGUGUUCUAAGAAGACGAUCAAACUUGAUCAUCUAGAGGAAGUAAAAGUCGUAACA